GGGGCCUCCACCCGCGAAGCGGGGCGCGCCUGGCUCGCCCCCUCGGCACCGCGCCCCCAGCCCCGUCAGGGCUUGUUUCCCGCAUCUACGGGUGACUUGCCGUGAAGACGUGCUGAGGCCCAGGCGGCCCUCCCUGGCUUUGGUGGCGUGUUUCCCCGUCCCCGCAGCUGGCGCAGCGACACAGAAGCGCAAGUGCUUUAGGGGCUGGCGGGGCUCCCUAGACGGUCUCCUCGGAUGCCUUUCCUUUUGGGGCCCACUUGAAAAGGAGAAGUCAGGGAAAGGCUGAUUCAACUCAUUCAGGCACACGAAGAGCCACACAAAACAGCCCAAGUUGAGCUGACAUUCCAAGGAACCUCUGUGAUUUUAUAAUCCACUUGUCUCAUUUUAUUGAUGAGGCAAAUGAGGUCCAGAGAGAUGAAGACUCUCACCCAGGGUCACACAGCAAGCCAGCACAAGAACCCAACAUCCUGCCUCCCAGUUUCAUGCUGUUCAGUCAAUACUGUACCUGCUUCUCUGGCUUUUGGGUCAAAGCUCCCAAGAAAUCUGCUAUCACAGUUUUCCAUAGGACUCUUACUGUUUACCACAGUUGUAUGCUAGGAAGCUCAACCACUUCCCCAAGAAUACAGAAGCCAGAAAACAGGCCCAUUGCACACUGAGAAGGGCUCUGAAAUGGAACAAAUGCAAGGGAAGUAGAAUUCAGUUUCACAGGCUUCGUAAAAAAUGUUGCCACAACCGGCAUUAUCACAGAUGCCAAAUGGGGAAAACAGAGAGAAAGUCAACCAUUUAGUAUAUGUUUGCCUCCAAAUAAUCAGUGUUUUGAGACCAGCUGGGAUAUUCCUAGACCCUUCAUCUUUCUGUUUACCAAAUUGCAGAUCACCAGGAAGUGACACGAAGUAUAUGAUCUAUUACCGAAACUAAUUACCCCCAAAACUAGUGACCUUAGAACAAUAAACCUUUAUUAUAUCUCA